AGCACAUGAUGUUUAUUCUCACGAUGGUCUUCCAAGCUUCAGGCUUUGACGAUAAUGCCAAAUGGCUUUGCUGAUGCUUCAUA
rnacentral:snoRNA from 1 species